AGCGAACGCUGGCGGCAGGCCUAACACAUGCAAGUCGAACGAAGUCUUCGGACUUAGUGGCGGACGGGUGAGUAACACGUGGGAACGUGCCUUUAGGUUCGGAAUAACUCAGGGAAACUUGUGCUAAUACCGAAUGUGCCCUUCGGGGGAAAGACUUAUCGCCUUUAGAGCGGCCCGCGUCUGAUUAGCUAGUUGGUGAGGUAAAGGCUCAACAAGGCGACGCUCAGUAGCUGGUCUGAGAGGAUGAUCAGCCACAUUGGGACUGAGACACGGCCCAAACUCCUACUGGAGGCAGCAGUGGGGGAUCUUGCGCAAUGGGCGAAAGCCUGACGCAGCCAUGCCGCGUGAAUGAUGAAGGUCUUAGGAUUGUAAAAUUCUUUCACCGGGGACGAUAAUGACGGUACCCGGAGAAGAAGCCCCGGCUAACUUCGUGCCAGCCGCCGCGGUAAAAC
rnacentral:rRNA from 1 species